rnacentral:rRNA from 1 species
UACGUAGGGUGCAAGCGUUAAUCGGAAUUACUGGGCGUAAAGCGUGCGCAGGCGGUUUUGUAAGUCUGACGUGAAAUCCCCCGGGCUCAACCUGGGAAUUGCGUUGGAGACUGCAAGGCUAGAGUAUGGCAGAGGGGGGUAGAAUUCCACGUGUAGCAGUGAAAUGCGUAGAGAUGUGGAGAAAUACCGAUGGCGAAGGCAGCCCCCUGGGCCAAUACUGACGCCCAUGCCACGAAAGCGUGGGGGAGCAAACAGGGAUUAGAAUACCCC